rnacentral:misc_RNA from 1 species
CAAGGUACUCUUUACGCCU